rnacentral:rRNA from 1 species
GGUCCUGGCCUGCCCUGUGACCACGAGUUUAACGGCCGCGGUAUCUUAACCGUGCGAAGGUAGCGCAAUCACUUGUCCUUUAAAUGACGACCAGUAUGAAUGGCAAGACGAGGGCUUUACUGUCUCCUCCCUCAAGUCAAUGAAAUUGAUCUCUCCGUGCAGAAGCGGGGAUAAAAACAUAAGACGAGAAGACCCUGUGGAGCUUUAGACACCAAGACAAAUCACGUUAAGAAGCCCUGAACAGAGGCCUGAACUAAGUGAGCUCUUGCUCUGAUGUCUUUGGUUGGGGCGACCCCGGGGAAAAAAGAAACCCCCGAAUGGAAUGGGAGAACAACAUCACCCCCUACAACUAAGAGCCGCACCUCUAAGAAACAGAACAUCUGACCUUCCGAUCCGUCUUUCCUGACGAUCAACGAACCGAGUUACCCCAGGGAUAACAGCGCAAUCCCCUUCAAGAGUCCAUAUCGACAAGGGGGUUUACGACCUCGAUGUUGGAUCAGGACAUCCUAAUGGCGCAGCCGCUAUUAAGGGUUCGUUUGUUCAACGAUUAAAGUCCUACGUGAUC